GAGAAGAACGCAGCGAAAUGCGAUAAGUAAUGUGAAUUGCAGAAUUCAGUGAAUCAUCGAAUCUUUGAACGCACCUUGCACCCUUUGGCAUUCCGAAGGGUAUGCUCGUUUGAGUGUCAUUGUACUCUCACUCUCCCGAUGCUUUUGGAUCGGGAGUGGUGGACUUGGGUGUUGCUGCUUUGCUGUGGCUCGCCUCAAAUGGAGUAGUGCAACUCUUGGUUGGACAUAGUACGGCGUGAUAAGUGUCUUCGCCGGCGCCUCAUUAUAGAGGGUGGCCGAUCGGGAGCUCUGUGCUUCAAACCGUCUUCGGACAACAUCUGACAACUUGACCUCAAAUCGAGUAGGACUACCCGCUGAACUUAAGCAUAUCAAUAAGCGGAGGA
rnacentral:misc_RNA from 1 species